GGAAUUUUCCGCAAUGGGCGAAAGCCUGACGGAGCAACGCCGCGUGAGGGAUGAAGGCCUCUGGGCUGUAAACCUCUUUUAUCAAGGAAGAAGAUCUGACGGUACUUGAUGAAUAAGCCACGGCUAAUUCCGUGCCAGCAGCCGCGGUAAUACGGGAGUGGCAAGCGUUAUCCGGAAUUAUUGGGCGUAAAGCGUCCGCAGGCGGCCUUGUAAGUCUGUUGUUAAAGUGUGGAGCUUAACUCCAUUUAAGCAAUGGAAACUGCAAGGCUUGAGUGUGGUAGGGGCAGAGGGAAUUCCCGGUGUAGCGGUGAAAUGCGUAGAUAUCGGGAAGAACACCAGUGGCGAAGGCGCUCUGCUGGGCCAUAACUGACGCUCAUGGACGAAAGCCAGGGGAGCGAAAGGGAUUAGAUACCCCAGUAGUC
rnacentral:rRNA from 1 species